AAUCAACGCUGGCGGCGUGCCUCAGACGUGCAAGUCGAACGAUUAAAGCUCUCUUUGGAGAGUGUAUAGAGUGGCGCACGGGUGAGUAACACGUAAGUAAUCUACCUUCGAGUGGGGAAUAACGUUCGGAAACGAACGCUAAUACCGCAUAAUGCAGCGGCAUCGCAAGAUGACAGUUGUUAAAGGAGCAAUCCGCUUGAAGAGGAGCUUGCGGCAGAUUAGCUAGUUGGUAAGGUAACGGCUUACCAAGGCUACGAUCUGUAUCCGGCCUGAGAGGUGGGUCGGACACACUGACACUGAAUAACGUGUCAGACUCCUACGGGGGCAGCAGUCGGGAAUUUUGGGCAAUGGGCGAAAGCCUGACCCAGCAACGCCGCGUGAAGGAUGAAGUAUUUCGGUAUGUAAACUUCGAAAGAAUAGGAAGAAUAAAUGACGGUACUAUUUAUAAGCUCCGGCUAACUACGUGCCAGCAGCCGCCGUAACAC
rnacentral:rRNA from 1 species